GUCAGGAUGAACGCUGGCGGCGUGCCUAACACAUGCAAGUCGAACGGAGAUUUAACGCUGAUGAGGCUUCGGCGGAAUCUUGUUAAAUCUAGUGGCGGACGGGUGAGUAACGCGUGGGCAACCUGCCUCGUACUGGGGGAUAACAGUUGGAAACGACUGUUAAUACCGCAUAAGCGCACGGUGUCGCAUGACACAGUGUGAAAAACUCCGGUGGUACGAGAUGGGCCCGCGUCAGAUUAGCCAGUUGGUGGGGUAACGGCCUACCAAAGCAACGAUCUGUAGCCGGACUGAGAGGUCGGACGGCCACAUUGGGACUGAGACACGGCCCAAACUCCUACGGGAGGCAGCAGUGGGGGAUAUUGCACAAUGGGCGAAAGCCUGAUGCAGCGACGCCGCGUGAAGUGAAGAAGUAUUUCGGUAUGUAAAGCUCUAUCAGCAGGGAAGAAAGACUCGUAAGAGAGAUGACGGUACCUGACUAAGAAGCCCCGGCUAACUACGUGCCAGCCGCUGC
rnacentral:rRNA from 1 species